GGAAGUAAAAGUCCGUAACAAGGUUUCCGUAGGUGAACCUGCGGAAGAAUCAUUAUUGUAUAACCGAGGUGCGAGGGCUGUCGCUGACCCGAAAGGUCGUGCACGCCCGAGUGCCCUCACACACAUCCAUCUCACCCCUAUGUGCACCACCGCGUGGGUCCCCCUUUGGCUUGUUCGGAGGGGGGCUUACGUUUUCACACAAACUUUGUAUGCAGUGUAGAAUGUAUUUUUUGUUUUUGCGAUCACGCAAUCAAUACAACUUUCAACAACGGAUCUCUUGGCUCUC
rnacentral:misc_RNA from 1 species